CUAUACAUGACUCUGCGCAUAUCAAUAAGCGGAGGAAAAGAAACUAACAAGGAUUCCCUUAGUAACGGCGAGUGAAGCGGGAAGAGCUCAAAUUUGAAAUCUUCAAGGUUUUACCUUGACGAAUUGUAGUUUAAAGAAGUGUUUUCUGUUGAAGUUUCGGUAAAAGUUCUUUGGAAUAGGACAUCAUAGAGGGUGAGAAUCCCGUAUUUGACCGUUAUUUUCAGCUGUGUGAUACACUUUCAAAGAGUCGGAUUGUUUGGGAAUGCAGUCCAAAAUGGGUGGUAAAUUUCAUCUAAAGCUAAAUAUUGGCGAGAGACCGAUAGCGAACAAGUACCGUGAGGGAAAGAUGAAAAGAACUUUGAAAAGAGAGUUAAACAGUACGUGAAAUUGUCAAAAGGGAAGCGUUUGACACCAGUGUUGUUUUCUCGAAAAUCAAUUAAAAAUAACUUGAUUUUGUGUUGUAUUGACCUUAAAAGCUUUCUUCACUCUUUUCCUGUUAUUUUUAAUGCACUUUUCGUUUAACAAGUCAACAUCAGUUUCUUUUGUUGUAAAAAGGUCAUUGGAAGGUGGCUUUCUUUUCGGAGAAAGCGUUUAUAGCCUUUGAUCUCUGCAACCGGAGAGACUGAGGUCUGCAGCGUAGACUCUUCGGGGUUAGAUACAUUUGUGCUAAGCUAUAGCUUUUUAUAGACAACUUGUUGACUAUAUUUAGUCUUGUGGCUUACUCGCUUAUGCUAUUUUACCUACGCUUAGGAUGUUGACGAGACUGUCGAUCUCAUCUAUACAUGACUCUGUGCAUAUCAAUAAGCGGAGGAAAAGUAAAUGCUGUAUACCUACGCUUAGGAUGUUGACGAGACUGUCGAUCUCAUCUAUACAUGACUCUGCGCAUAUCAAUAAGCGGAGGAAAAGUACUACCUACGCUUAGGAUGUUGACGAGACUGUCGAUCUC
rnacentral:rRNA from 1 species